GAUCAUGGCUAAGGAUGAACGCUGGCGGCGUGCUUAACACAUGCAAGUCGAACGAAGCACCUUGAUUUGAUUCUUCGGAUGAAAAUCCUGGUGACUGAGUGGCGGACGGGUGAGUAACGCGUGGGUAACCUGCCUCAUACAGGGGGAUAACAGUUAGAAAUGACUGCUUAAUACCGCAUAAGACCACAGCACCGCAUGGUGCAGGGUAAAAACUCCGGUGGUAUGAGAUGGACCCGCGU
rnacentral:rRNA from 1 species